rnacentral:rRNA from 1 species
UACGUAGGGGGCAAGCGUUGUCCGGAUUUAUUGGGCGUAAAGAGCGUGUAGGCGGCCUGACAAGUCUGCUGUGAAAACUCGAGGCUCAACCUCGAGAUGUCGGCGGAAACUGUCUGGCUAGAGUCCGGAAGAGGAGAGUGGAAUUCCUGGUGUAGCGGUGAAAUGCGCAGAUAUCAGGAAGAACACCUAUGGCGAAGGCAGCUCUCUGGGACGGUACUGACGCUGAGACGCGAAAGCAUGGGGAGCGAACAGG